rnacentral:misc_RNA from 1 species
UUGUGGAGGAGGACGCCGAAGGUGGGGCUAAUGACUGGGGUGAAGUCGUAACAAGGUAGCCGUACCGGAAGGUGCGGCUGGAUCACCUCCUAACAGGGAGACAACAAAAUGUUUAAUAUUAUUUUGUCACCUUAGGUCGAUCGGUAUCUCACGUUUUUAAUUUAUUAAGAAUUUCAUUUCCUAAGUUUUUCUAGGUCACACCCAUUAUUUUUCCUGGGCCAUUAGCUCAGGUGGUUAGAGCGCACCCCUGAUAAGGGUGAGGUCCCUGGUUCAAGUCCAGGAUGGCCCAUAUCUCUAUGUUGGGGGUAUAGCUCAGUUGGUAGAGCGCCUGCUUUGCAAGCAGGAUGUCAGCGGUUCGAGUCCGCUUACCUCCACUGAUUACCACCUCUCGCAUAAUCUAUUAAAAGGAAAUGUUUUGAGUUGUGAUCAAAUUCUGAACGAAUCUAGCUUCCUAAUGAAAUCAUUAAGAUGCUGGACUCAUUGAAUUAAUUUCAUUGUUUUCAGAGAACCUUGACAACUGCAUAGAUUAUUUUUAAAGACAAUAAGCAUUUUUAAUGAUGCAGAUUUAUUAUUUGUGCGAAUGCAUUAAUAACAAUUCUAUUAAGCUGAUGCUUCAAUUUUGAAGUUAUUGGUCAAGCUACAA